UGAGUAACGCGUGGGGAAUCUGCCUUUGAGCGGGGGACANCAUUUGGAAACGAAUGCUAAUACCGCAUAAAAACUUUAAACACAAGUUUUAAGUUUGAAAGAUGCAAUUGCAUCACUCAAAGAUGAUCCCGCGUUGUAUUAGCUAGUUGGUGAGGUAAAGGCUCACCAAGGCGAUGAUACAUAGCCGACCUGAGAGGGUGAUCGGCCACAUUGGGACUGAGACACGGCCCAAACUCCUACGGGAGGCAGCAGUAGGGAAUCUUCGGCAAUGGACGAAAGUCUGACCGAGCAACGCCGCGUGAGUGAAGAAGGUUUUCGGAUCGUAAAACUCUGUUGGUAGAGAAGAACGUUGGUGAGAGUGGAAAGCUCAUCAAGUGACGGUAACUACCCAGAAAGGGACGGCUAACUACGUGCCAGCAGCCGCGGUAAUACGUAGGUCCCGAGCGUUGUCCGGAUUUAUUGGGCGUAAAGCGAGCGCAGGUGGUUUAUUAAGUCUGGUGUAAAAGGCAGUGGCUCAACCAUUGUAUGCAUUGGAAACUGGUAGACUUGAGUGCAGGAGAGGAGAGUGAAUUCCAUGUGUAGCGGUGAAAUGCGUAGAUAUAUGGAGGAACACCGGUGGCGAAAGCGGCUCUCUGGCCUGUAACUGACACUGAGGCUCGAAAGCGUGGGGAGCAAACAGGAUUAGAUACCCUGGUAGUCCACGCCGUAAACGAUGAGUGCUAGAUGUAGGGAGCUAUAAGUUCUCUGUAUCGCAGCUAACGCAAUAAGCACUCCGCCUGGGGAGUACGACCGCAAGGUUGAAACUCAAAGGAAUUGACGGGGGCCCGCACAAGCGGUGGAGCAUGUGGUUUAAUUCGAAGCAACGCGAAGAACCUUACCAGGUCUUGACAUACUCGUGCUAUUCCUAGAGAUAGGAAGUUCCUUCGGGACACGGGAUACAGGUGGUGCAUGGUUGUCGUCAGCUCGUGUCGUGAGAUGUUGGGUUAAGUCCCGCAACNAGCGCAACCCCUAUUGUUAGUUGCCAUCAUUAAGUGGGCACUCUAACGAGACUGCCGGUGAUAUACCGGAGGAAGGUGGGGAUGACGUCAAAUCNUCAUGCCCCUUAUGACCUGGGCUACACACGUGCUACAAUGGAUGGUACAACGAAAUCGCGAGACAGUGAUGUUUAGCUAAUCUCUUAAAACCAUUCUCAGUUCGGAUUGUAGGCUGCAACUCGCCUACAUGAAGUCGGAAUCGCUAGUAAUCGCGGAUCAGCACGCCGCGGUGAAUACGUUCCCGGGCCUUGUACACACCGCCCGUCACACCACGGGAGUUGGGAGUACCCGAAGUAGGUUGCCUAACCGCAAGGAGGGCGCUUCCUAAGGUAAGACCGAUGACUGGGGUGAAGUCGUAACAAGGUAACC
rnacentral:rRNA from 1 species